rnacentral:tRNA from 1 species
GGCGUGCAAUUGGUGCCGCAGCCUGACUGUAAAUCAGACUGCUCAGCAUUCGGGGGUUCGAAUCCCUCACCUGCCACCA